rnacentral:rRNA from 1 species
CUGCUGCCUUCCGUAGGAGUCUGGUCCGUGUCUCAGUACCAGUGUGGGGGACCUUCCUCUCAGAACCCCUACGCAUCGUCGCCUUGGUGGGCCGUUACCCCGCCAACUAGCUAAUGCGACGCAUGACCAUCCGUAGCCGGAAUCGCUUCCUUUAAACCCGAGGAGAUGCCUCCUCGGGUUGUUACGCGGUAUUAGACGGAAUUUCUUCCGCUUAUCCCCCUGCUACGGGCAGGUUUCAUACGUGUUACUCACCCGCGCGCCGGUCGCCGGCGGGAG